rnacentral:rRNA from 1 species
GACGAACGCUGGCGGCGUGCUUAACACAUGCAAGUCGAACGGAAAGGCCCUGCUUUUGUGCCGUGCUCGAGUGCCGCGCGGGUGAGUAACACGUGAGUAACCUGCCCUUGACUUUGUGGUAACUUCACGGAACUGCGGCUAAUACCGGAUAGAAGCUCCUGCUGCAUGUUGGUGGUUGGACAGUUUCGGCGGUUGGGGAUGGUCUCGCGGGUUAUCAGCUUGUUGGUGGGGUAGUGGCUUACCAAGGCUUUGACGGGUAGCCGGCCUGAGAGGGUGACCGGGCACAUGGGGACUGAGGUACGGCCCAGACGCGUACGGGAGGCAGCAGGGGGGAAUAUUGCACAAUGGGGGGAAGCCUGAUGCAGCAACGCCCCGAGCGGGAAGACGGCCUUCGGGUGGUAAACCGCUGUCGCCUGAGACGAAGCGGGAGUGACGGUAAUGGGUAAAGAAGCACCGGCUAACUACGUG